GACGAACGCUGGCGGCGUGCUUAACACAUGCAAGUCGAACGGAAAGGCCCUGCUUUUGUGGGGUGCUCGAGUGGCGAACGGGUGAGUAACACGUGAGUAACCUGCCCUUGACUUUGGGAUAACUUCAGGAAACUGGGGCUAAUACCGGAUAGGAGCUCCUGCUGCAUGGUGGGGGUUGGAAAGUUUCGGCGGUUGGGGAUGGACUCGCGGCUUAUCAGCUUGUUGGUGGGGUAGUGGCUUACCAAGGCUUUGACGGGUAGCCGGCCUGAGAGGGUGACCGGCCACAUUGGGACUGAGAUACGGCCCAGACUCCUACGGGAGGCAGCAGUGGGGAAUAUUGCAGAAUGGGCGGAAGCCUGAUGCAGCAACGCCGCGUGCGGGAUGACGGCCUUCGGGUUGUAAACCGCUUUCGCCUGUGACGAAGCGUGAGUGACGGUAAUGGGUAAAGAAGCAACGGCUAACUACGUG
rnacentral:rRNA from 1 species